rnacentral:rRNA from 1 species
GUCUUCUUGAUAGAAUAAGAAGUCUGACCUGCCCAGUGAAAUAUUUUAACGGCCGCGGUAUAUUGACCGUGCAAAGGUAGCAUAAUCAUUAGUCUUUUAAUAGAGGGCUGGAAUGAAGGGUUUAACGAAGUACUUACUGUCUCAUUUAAUUUGAUGUUAAAAUUUACUUUUUCAGUCAAAAAGCUGAAAUAUUAUUGGAAGACGAGAAGACCCUAUAGAGCUUUAUAUUUAAUUAUUUAAUAAAUUUUUGAGAAAUUAUUAUUUAUUAUUUAAUAAAAUAUUUUGUUGGGGUGACAAAAAUAUAUAAUUAACUUUUUUAUUUAGAUAACAUUGAUAUAUGAAAAAUAGAUCCAGUUUUACUGAUUAAUAGAAUAAGUUACCUUAGGGAUAACAGCGUAAUCUUCCUUUAGAGUUCAUAUUCACAGGGAGGCUUGCGACCUCGAUGUUGGAUUAAGAUUAUAAUUAGGUGUAGCCGCUUAAAAAAUAGGUCUGUUCGACCUUUAAAUUCUU